GUUUUGGAGCAUGAGGCAGUCAUUGGUGGGUUCAAGUGCCUUUACUGGCUCGUAAAAAUUUAACUAGCCCACCACACAAAUUAUCCAAAACUUUUGAGCCUUGCUGAGCUUCUAGGGUGCGACUACUUCAGGAAAAUAAAGAUUGACAGGAGGAAUAACUAUAGUUCUCAUCGUAUUAUUGACGACAUGCUUGAGGUCUUAGCAGAGGUCAUAGAGGAGCCAAUUCUCACUAAAAUUAAAUCAUCACAGGGAAUUAGCCUGGAAGUUGAUGAGACUACAGAUGUGUCAGUCGGCAGGCAACUUGACUUGCAUGUUCGAUCCAUAGAUAAAGAGGG